rnacentral:rRNA from 1 species
CCCUCUGUCCCUAUCUACUAUCUAGCGAAACCACUGCCAAGGGAACGGGCUUGGAAAAAUCAGCGGGGAAAGAAGACCCUGUUGAGCUUGACUCUAGUCUGGCACUGUAAGGAGACAUGAGAGGUGUAGCAUAAGUGGGAGACGGUAUCCAUUCCGUCGCCGGUGAAAUACCACUACUUUCAUCGUUUCUUUACUUACUUGGUUAGGCGGAGGGCGUACGUCGAGGGUAUUUCACCCCGGCGGUACGGUCUUCUCGCGCCAAGCGUUCAAGGGUUGCCGGCGGGCAGAAGUGCGGACCAGCGUCGGCGAGUCGCGUAUCCCGGCUUGCCGGGCCGCGGCCCGGCGUUGGUUGCGGCACGCUCUGUUACCGACCGGCAAACACUCCCUAGCGUGAUCCGAUCCGAGGACACUGCCAGGCGGGGAGUUUGACUGGGGCGGUACAUCUGUCAAAGAAUAACGCAGGUGUCCUAAGGCCAGCUCAGCGAGGACAGAAACCUCGCGUAGAGCAAAAGGGCAAAUGCUGGCUUGAUCCCGAUGUUCAGUACGCAUAGGGACUGCGAAAGCACGGCCUAUCGAUCCUUUUGGCUUGAAGAGUUUUCAGCAAGAGGUGUCAGAAAAGUUACCACAGGGAUAA